rnacentral:rRNA from 1 species
GACGAACGCUGGCGGCGUGCUUAACACAUGCAAGUCGAACGGUGAAGCUCCAGCGUGCUGGAGUGGAUCAGUGGCGAACGGGUGAGUAACACGUGAGCAACCUGCCCCUUACUCUGGAAUAAGCGCUGGAAACGGCGUCUAAUACUGGAUACGAGAAGGGUCCGCAUGGGCACUUUCUGGAAAGUUUUUCGGUUGGGGAUGGGCUCGCGGCCUAUCAGCUUGUUGGUGAGGUAAUGGCUCACCAAGGCGACGACGGGUAGCCGGCCUGAGAGGGCGACCGGCCAAAAUGGGAAUGAGACACGGCCCAGACUCCUACGGGAGGCAGCAGUGGGGAAUAUUGCACAAUGGGCGAAAGCCUGAUGCAGCGACGCCGCGUGAGGGAUGACGGCCUUCGGGUUGUAAACCUCUUUCAGCAGGGAAGAAGCGAAAGUGACGGUACCUGCAGAAGAAGCACCGGCUAACUACGUG